rnacentral:lncRNA from 1 species
AUGGCUUCUCCCCGCCCAAGUUGCAGGUCUCAGGGCCCUGGACGCGCAGGCCCGACGUCCCUGCCCCUCGUCACACAGAGGCCAAAAGGGAGUCCCAGCGCGCGAGCGCGCGCCCCAGACCGCCCGGGGAGGGAGGCGGCCACAGAAGGCCGCCACCGGGUCGCCACGGCGCGCGGGGGGAUCCAGAGCCUCGGGGCCCCACCCUGGGAGCACGUGGGCUCUGGGCUCCCAGGCCAAAGACGAGUGGCAGACACGCGGCCGCGGCGGCAGAACUACUCCUUACCCUUACCGUACAGUGGCGCGUUGGAGGAGGCCAGCCGAGACAGGCGCCGCGCAGCCGGGGAGGGCUUCCUGGAGGCCGGGCUUGGGCUGAGCGUGGGUGGGAUUUCAGUGGCUGGUGGGGGGGGGGGCACACUUCAGGAUCACUGGAGCCACCGGCGCGGGGGGCCAGCCUGCUGGGGCCCGGGCUGGGGAGCAGUGGGAGGGAGAGCUGGAGCAGGGGCAGGCUGGGCCUGGCAGCCGGCCAGCAGGCGGAGGACCCAGGGCCGCCAGAGCGGGCGGAGGACCCAGGGCCGCCAGAGCGGGCUGAGACCUGGGGCUGGAGCCCUGGGAGGUGCUGGAUUUGCUGAGAACCACGUGGUCUGCGGUGCUAUGGGGCCUGUGAGCUGGGGGAAGGGGAGCAGGAGCUCCCGGAGGGGCAGGCCGAGGUUGCUCAUCUCCGGUUCCCCAGCGCUUGGCGAAGCCUGGCCCGUGGAAGGGAGCGGCAGACGUUCGGCUGAAAUGAGUGGACUGUGUAAGGGGAUGAGCGUCCUCAGUUCCUGUCAGCAGAGAGGGCAGACAGAGUGGGAUUGUGGUCUGAGGAAGAGUGGGGACUUCAGAGGCAGAGAGGACAGAGGGGAGUCCAGAAGCCUCUUCUCAGAACCCCCAGCCCACGGCAAGCAGGAGAGGGCCACCAGCCCAGGGGGAGCUGGGCUGAGCCUCUUGCCACCUCCACCAGCCCAUGGGCCCUCCCAGCCCUGUCCUGCUUGGGCCUCUCUCACCAGGCUCUCCCCUGACCUGCUGGGUGCCCUGCAGCAGUCAUGUUUUCCUCUGAGCCUCGAUUUCUCCUCCUGA